GAAAUAUGGCCCUCAAGUUGCAUUUUUAACAAUAAAUAGGUCAGAACAAGAAUCCAAUUCCCUCCCAAGGAUCCAACCGCAUUUACAUUUCCCUGCACAUUGCCAGGAAUAAAAGCAACAUUUCUAGUUAUGUUUCAACUUUCCAACCAAAACUAGCUUACUGCAUAGUGCCUACUUAAUACAUUUCAUACUUAGUUAAGGCUGUGAAAGAAAACAAGAGAGUUAGAGCUUCUAGAGCAGGAAGUUGCGUCAGUGCCUGAUAGUGAGCUCAGCUCUAAGAUGCAGUACACCAUUUAUAAAGUAAAGACUAUCUUCAGCCAUGAAGGAAGUCCA
rnacentral:misc_RNA from 1 species